GUCCAGGCUUUUAUAUCAGCAUCCUUUUAAGACAUAGCCAAGGCAGCCCCCUGUAUUAGAAUACGGCUAAGAGAACAAGGCCUCUCCCUGCCUGAUCUGGCUGCAAGUGAGCAGCUGCUGGCUUGCCAUGGACGUCGUCUGGGGGAACUCACUCCUCUGCGUUUGCCAUUCAACCAUAUUUCUGUUUGAAGAUGUGUUUCUGUUUUCCUUUUAGUUCUGUAUGUGUUUAAAACCUAAACUACUCACAGAAAAUGCAAACUGCUCCUGAACACCCACAUCCAGGACAUGUUAGUGAUCUAGGCUAACCUUCCAUCUCAACCCGCCAAGUGCUGGAUUACAGAUGUGCACCACCUGGCAGAGGGCUGGAUUACAGAUGUGCACCACCUGGCAGAGGGCUGGAUUACAGAUGUGCACCACCUGGCAGAGGGCUGGAUUACAGAUGUGCACCACCUGGCAGAGGGCUGGAUUACAGAUGUGCACCACCUGGCAGAGGGCUUGCCUUAUUCUUCUGACACUCAUCAUUUUCUUCAAGGAAAGGAAAUGACACUGUAUAUGUGUGCUGCAUUUUCUUUGCUCCUUCCCGUCCUUGGGGACUCCAGUGACGAGUGUGACAAGGACUGCUGCCAAGAAAACAUCUUAGAAGUGUUGAUUUGGAGUUCUUUGGGGGUAAAAAGAGAGCUGGCCAAGCAUGAGCAGGAAGGAACAGAAGAGUAAAAGUUGUGGUCAGAAGUGGCACCAGCGUCCUGAGCAGCAGGAAACAAGAGCCAACCAGAUGAAAUGAUAAGACACCAGGAGGCAGUGUGGCCCAUAGAGUUGGUAGGUUUAGUAGCUCGAAACUAAUCUCUUCAAUAUCCACCAUAUGGAAGCAAGCUAGAAGCCUGUCGACUGCUCAAUGGAAAAAAGAAAAUGAGGUAUAUAUACUUCAACAAAGGAAUUCUGUUCAGCCAUAAAGAAUAAUGAAAUUAUGACAUUUGUGGGAAAAUGAAUGAAACCAGAGAUCAUUAUGUUAAUGAACUAAAACAGACAGGCAAAUGCCACAGUUCCUCUAGCAUGUGAAAUCUAUAUUUAAAUGGGAUAUGAAAGUAGGAAUUUUGACAGGAGACCAUGAGGCCUAAUAGGAAGGGCAGAGGACAAGUGAGAAUAACAACCAGAAGACACAGAAGCAGGAGGGGAAUCCAUGCUUCCACUCACUGAGGAGACCACACACACACACACACACACACACACACACACACACACACACACACGAGAGGGAGAGAGAGAGAGAGAGGAGAGGGAGGGAGCACACACACACACACAAGAGAGAGA